rnacentral:rRNA from 1 species
CCGAAUGGGGAAACCCAGUGUGACUCGUCACACUAUCAUUAACUGAAUCCAUAGGUUAAUGAGGCGAACCGGGGGAACUGAAACAUCUAAGUACCCCGAGGAAAAGAAAUCAACCGAGAUUCCCCCAGUAGCGGCGAGCGAACGGGGAGGAGCCCAGAGCCUGAAUCAGCAUGUGUGUUAGUGGAAGCGUCUGGAAAGGCGCGCGAUACAGGGUGACAGCCCCGUACACAAAAGCGCAUGUGCUGUGAGCUCGAUGAGUAGGGCGGGACACGUGGUAUCCUGUCUGAAUAUGGGGGGACCAUCCUCCAAGGCUAAAUACUCCUGACUGACCGAUAGUGAACCAGUACCGUGAGGGAAAGGCGAAAAGAACCCCGGCGAGGGGAGUGAAAAAGAACCUGAAACCGUGUACGUACAAGCAGUGGGAGCACAGGUUUACCUGUGUGACUGCGUACCUUUUGUAUAAUGGGUCAGCGACUUAUAUUCUGUAGCAAGGUUAACCGAAUAGGGGAGCCGGAGGGAAACCGAGUCUUAAUUGGGCGUUAAGUUGCAGGGUAUAGACCCGAAACCCGGUGAUCUAGCCAUGGGCAGGUUGAAGGUUGGGUAACACUAACUGGAGGACCGAACCGACUAAUGUUGAAAAAUUAGCGGAUGACCUGUGGCUGGGGGUGAAAGGCCAAUCAAACCGGGAGAUAGCUGGUUCUCCCCGAAAGCUAUUUAGGUAGCGCCUCGUGAAUUCAUCUCCGGGGGUAGAGCACUGUUUCGGCUAGGGGGCCAUCCCGGCUUACCAACCCGAUGCAAACUGCGAAUACCGGAGAAUGUUAUCACGGGAGACACACGGCGGGUGCUAACGUCCGUCGUGAAGAGGGAAACAACCCAGACCGCCAGCUAAGGUCCCAAAGUCAUGGUUAAGUGGGAAACGAUGUGGGAAGGCCCAGACAGCCAGGAUGUUGGCUUAGAAGCAGCCAUCAUUUAAAGAAAGCGUAAUAGCUCACUGGUCGAGUCGGCCUGCGCGGAAGAUGUAACGGGGCUAAACCAUGCACCGAAGCUGCGGCAGCGACGCUGAUGCGUUGUUGGGUAGGGGAGCGUUCUGUAAGCCUGCGAAGGUGGCCUGUGAGGGUUGCUGGAGGUAUCAGAAGUGCGAAUGCUGACAUAAGUAACGAUAAAGCGGGUGAAAAGCCCGCUCGCCGGAAGACCAAGGGUUCCUGUCCAACGUUAAUCGGGGCAGGGUGAGUCGACCCCUAAGGCGAGGCCGAAAGGCGUAGUCGAUGGGAAACGGGUUAAUAUUCCCGUACUUGGUGUUACUGCGAAGGGGGGACGGAGAAGGCUAUGUUGGCCGGGCGACGGUUGUCCCGGUUUAAGCGUGUAGGUGUGUGUUCCAGGUAAAUCCGGUUCACUUUAACACUGAGGCGUGAUGACGAGGCACUACGGUGCUGAAGCAACAAAUGCCCUGCUUCCAGGAAAAGCCUCUAAGCAUCAGGUAACAUCAAAUCGUACCCCAAACCGACACAGGUGGUCAGGUAGAGAAUACCAAGGCGCUUGAGAGAACUCGGGUGAAGGAACUAGGCAAAAUGGUGCCGUAACUUCGGGAGAAGGCACGCUGACACGUAGGUGAAGUGAUUUACUCAUGGAGCUGAAGUCAGUCGAAGAUACCAGCUGGCUGCAACUGUUUAUUAAAAACACAGCACUGUGCAAACACGAAAGUGGACGUAUACGGUGUGACGCCUGCCCGGUGCCGGAAGGUUAAUUGAUGGGGUCAGCGCAAGCGAAGCUCCUGAUCGAAGCCCCGGUAAACGGCGGCCGUAACUAUAACGGUCCUAAGGUAGCGAAAUUCCUUGUCGGGUAAGUUCCGACCUGCACGAAUGGCGUAAUGAUGGCCAGGCUGUCUCCACCCGAGACUCAGUGAAAUUGAACUCGCUGUGAAGAUGCAGUGUACCCGCGGCAAGACGGAAAGACCCCGUGAACCUUUACUAUAGCUUGACACUGAACAUUGAGCCUUGAUGUGUAGGAUAGGUGGGAGGCUUUGAAGUGUGGACGCCAGUCUGCAUGGAGCCGACCUUGAAAUACCACCCUUUAAUGUUUGAUGUUCUAACGUGGACCCGUGAUCCGGGUUGCGGACAGUGUCUGGUGGGUAGUUUGACUGGGGCGGUCUCCUCCUAAAGAGUAACGGAGGAGCACGAAGGUUGGCUAAUCCUGGUCGGACAUCAGGAGGUUAGUGCAAUGGCAUAAGCCAGCUUGACUGCGAGCGUGACGGCGCGAGCAGGUGCGAAAGCAGGUCAUAGUGAUCCGGUGGUUCUGAAUGGAAGGGCCAUCGCUCAACGGAUAAAAGGUACUCCGGGGAUAACAGGCUGAUACCGCCCAAGAGUUCAUAUCGACGGCGGUGUUUGGCACCUCGAUGUCGGCUCAUCACAUCCUGGGGCUGAAGUAGGUCCCAAGGGUAUGGCUGUUCGCCAUUUAAAGUGGUACGCGAGCUGGGUUUAGAACGUCGUGAGACAGUUCGGUCCCUAUCUGCCGUGGGCGCUGGAGAACUGAGGGGGGCUGCUCCUAGUACGAGAGGACCGGAGUGGACGCAUCACUGGUGUUCGGGUUGUCAUGCCAAUGGCACUGCCCGGUAGCUAAAUGCGGAAGAGAUAAGUGCUGAAAGCAUCUAAGCACGAAACUUGCCCCGAGAUGAGUUCUCCCUGAGACUU